rnacentral:rRNA from 1 species
GACGUAGGGAGCAAGCGUUGUCCGGAAUUACUGGGCGUAAAGAGCUCGUAGGCGGGAGCGUAAGUCUGAAAGGAAAUCUCAAGGCUCAACUUUGGGGCUUUUUCAGAUACUGCGCUUCUUGAGGAUAUCAGAGGAAAGUAGAAUUCCCGGUGUAGCGGUGAAAUGCGUAGAGAUCCGGAAGAACACCGGUGGCGAAGGCGGUUAGCUGGGCAGUUGCUGACACUGAGGCGCGACAGCGUGGGGAGCAAACAGG